CCACCCAUCAGAGAAUUCGUUAUUCACAUUGUUUCAAAUAAAUUUUCCUCAUGUAGCCUUCUUUUCAUGCCUGGGUGGUAGUGAAUAGCUACAGUAAUCCAUCAUCAACCAAUCACGUAUGGGAACCGCUGCGAGGGAGGAAAAAUAAAUAAGAAAAAAAUUGUGAUUGUGUACCACCGUUGUGGAGGCCUACGAAGCCGAGAACCUGCAUUUCAAGAGCCGGCAGGAAAGCGGGCGGUGGGAGGCAUGUUAACGUUCGUAUUUUACUUAAUGUGCUCGUGUUUGUGAAGUGUCGGGGAGCCACACGUCUUCAUUACCAGGCCCAGGACUUCACCGAGGCUACAACAACGGUUGAUAUUCGUGACUUGUUGCUCCUCUCCUGGACUUCAGUAUGGAGUAUUGGAGAUGUCAUUGUCCUGAUAGAAGUGUUGGUGGAGCUGAGCUGGCCACUUCAUUAUUACCAGUGGAAAGUCGUGUGUUGUUUAAUGAAGUGAGACUGUCAAUGGAAAUAUCAAAGGUCACGCCGGGGUCACACCGAGGUCAGGUCAAGGUCAGAAGAGUCCCAGUGGGAGAAAGACUCGCUCCCCAGAGGCUGCAGGUCGGUGCCACGCAGGGAUGCUGGAUGGGACUGCAGAGGCCUGGAGUCUAUAUCACAUCGCUCCUGUCCCAGCCUGGCCUCUCCUCUCCCGGCCCGCUGCACACACUGACGCUGCCAAACACUGCGCGGGAGUGGCAAGGCUGGCCAGGUACGCAGCUAUUACCACCAACCCGCGAGGGAGUCUAGGAGGGCGGGCUGGGCGGCGCCUGGCUAGACCCUUGGCACAUGGAAUCAUUGGCUGGAAGUGUUUGUGUGACGAAGCAAAGCUGUGGUGAAAGUGCUAAUCCUCAUCUUUACCGCCAGACCUCUCCUCCACUGCCAUCGCUCUCUUCAAUGCUGCUUCGUUACUUUGCCAAGUCAGUACGCGUCUCACUUCUCACAUCUCUUCACCACCACCACCACCACCACUACUACUACUACUACUACUACUACUUCUAUGCCACACCUCUUAUUCCACCACCGCUACAUCACCUCACGUUACAGUUCUCCCCACCACCUCCAGCACUGCAUCCUACCUCACUCCUCCCUACCACACCACCGCGUCGUCUAAUCCCGUACGCUUCCACACCACCACUGCCACACUCUAUUCCACACCCGCACCACACCCGCCACAUCGCCUGCAUGCCCCGCCACACUCAUUUCCUGCCGGCAAAACACGAGCACCAGCAGCAGCAGCAGCAGCAGCUUCGUAAAUAACAUGUAAAAAAAAGGGUUGCGUAUUUUUGUACAUUUGCCUUACUUUUUUUUAUCAGAGGCGAUGAACUCUUGAAAAUAUUUACCGCAAG